UACAUAUCCCUCAGGACACAGAGGCAAAGUUUACAUUUGUGAAAAAGUAAUAAAUAAAUAGAAGGUGAAAAAUAUAUUAAAGGAAAAUAAUUUUGAAAAAAAAUAAAAUAAAGUAGUUGGAAAAGAAUGGAGACUGAUCUGAAUAAUAGGAAAUCCGUGAAAAUCACAAGUCUUUCUCCAAUAAGAAAAAGAAAAACACAAUUUUCAUCUUUUAACAACAAAUCUCUCUUCUAAUCUAUUUUCUGUGUUUUAACUUCAUAUAUUAAACAGAAAAUAAUGGAUUAUUUCAUUAUUGAUUUAUCAUUACAAGGCAAAGUUUACAAUGAAUUACCAAGCAAGGAAAAACUUCAUUUCAUGAUCAACCAUACACAAAGAAAGGUGCUAGUUUUAGAGACAAUUCUUCGCGUUUUAUAGAUGAGUUUGAUUUGCAAUCACUUAAACCGGAUCUUGGAGAAAGAAUAUCCAUUGAUAAAUAUAGCCCAAGAAUACGAGAUGAAGUGAGAAGACACUAUAUUCAACAAGGGCCUUGUCAACCGGAUAUUAAUGAUAAUGAAUAUCCUCAAACUAGAUUCGGAACGAAAAAUGCGUAGAUUUGUAAGGCAUGGUUUAAGGGCUCAUAUUCGAGAUGGUUUGAGUUAUUUAUUCAAAAUUCUAAAAUAUUCUUGAUAAAAAGUUGAUUGUUCUUCUUUUAAUUUUUUAAAUUUUUGUAAUUAUAAUGUUCAAUAUUGGUUAAAGUGAAAUAAAAUAAUAAAAUUCACAAUUAAAAUUUUUUGGGACCUCAAAAUUUUGGAGGCCUAAGCAGGGCUCUCUGCUAACCUUACCCUUGAGGCCACUCUUAGUGGCCCCCUUAUCUUCGAGUCCUGGGUUUGCCUCUGCUUGUUACUAGCAUGUUUACAUAUUUGAGAAUACAUGAACAUUAUUGUACCCUAACACAUCCUACACAUUGCAUCAACAUCAAUAUCAAAAUCGUCAACAUAAAAAAGUGAACAAACUCUCGCGAGAAAGCUAGGAAACUAAUUAUACUAUGGGAAAAACAUCCCAGGGGAACAUAGUCACAAUGAUGACACACAAAUCCACCAUUGUUGAGAAAAACAUAAUGUCUCCAAAUUCUAGUUACUCAAUUAUGAUGGAUAAAUCCACCAUGGCCGGUCAAGUUAAAUCCUAUCGGAACAUGUAAUCUAAAACAGUAGCAGAAAA